rnacentral:rRNA from 1 species
GAUGAACGCUGGCGGCGUGCUUAACACAUGCAAGUCGAACGAUGAAGCCCAGCUUGCUGGGUGGAUUAGUGGCGAACGGGUGAGUAACACGUGAGUAACCUGCCCCCAACUCUGGGAUAAGCCUGGGAAACUGGGUCUAAUACCGGAUAGGAGUGCUCACCGCAUGGUGGGUGUUGGAAAGAUUUAUCGGUUUUGGAUGGACUCGCGGCCUAUCAGCUUGUUGGUGAGGUAAUGGCUCACCAAGGCGACGACGGGUAGCCGGCCUGAGAGGGUGACCGGCCACACUGGGACUGAGACACGGCCCAGACUCCUACGGGAGGCAGCAGUGGGGAAUAUUGCACAAUGGGCGCAAGCCUGAUGCAGCGACGCCGCGUGAGGGAUGACGGCCUUCGGGUUGUAAACCUCUUUCAGUAGGGAAGAAGCGAAAGUGACGGUACCUGCAGAAGAAGCACCGGCUAACUACGUG